UACGUAGGGGGCAAGCGUUGUCCGGAAUCAUUGGGCGUAAAGCGCGUGUAGGCGGCUUCGUAAGUCCGUUGUGAAAGUCCAGGGCUCAACCCUGGAAUGCCGAUGGAUACUGCGGAGCUAGAGUCCGGAAGAGGCGAGUGGAAUUCCUGGUGUAGAGGUGAGAUUCGUAGAUAUCGAGAGGAACACCUGUGGCGAAGGCGGCCUUCUGGACGGUUACUGACGCUGAGACGCGAAAGCGUGGGGAGCAAACAGG
rnacentral:rRNA from 1 species